rnacentral:rRNA from 1 species
UACGUAGGGUGCAAGCGUUGUCCGGAAUUAUUGGGCGUAAAGAGCUUGUAGGCGGUUUGUCGCGUCUGCUGUGAAAUUUCGGGGCUCAACCCCGAACUUGCAGUGGGUACGGGCAGACUAGAGUGUGGUAGGGGAGACUGGAAUUCCUGGUGUAGCGGUGAAAUGCGCAGAUAUCAGGAGGAACACCGAUGGCGAAGGCAGGUCUCUGGGCCUUACCUGACGCUGAGGAGCGAAAGCAUGGGGAGCAAACAGG